UACGUAGGGUGCGAGCGUUAAUCGGAAUUACUGGGCGUAAAGCGUUCGCAGGCGGUUCGCCAAGUCAGGUGUGAAAUCCCCGGGCUUAACCUGGGAAUUGCGCUUGAAACUAGCGGGCUUGAGUGUGGCAGAGGGGGGUGGAAUUCCACGUGUAGCAGUGAAAUGCGUAGAGAUGUGGAGGAACACCGAUGGCGAAGGCAGCCCCCUGGGUCAACACUGACGCUCAUGCACGAAAGCGUGGGGAGCAAACAGG
rnacentral:rRNA from 1 species